AUGCAGGAUGUACUGAACCCAGAAGGCAUCGUGAAGAAGAGAAAAAGGCGUAAGGUUAAGAGGUCUGAGUGUCCAGCCCACCUUUACCUUACGCACAAGGAUGUGUGGUGGAGAGUCGAACGCUUUGAUGACAACCACAACCAUCCACUGAUAAGAAAGCCAUCUCUGAGAAAAUUUCUAGCCUCACAUAGGAACAUUCCCAAAGACGAGUAAGAUUUCUUACGGAUUCUACAUGAAUGCAACAUAGACACCGCAAGGCAAAUGCAACUAAUUUCAUGGUUCUAUGGUGAUGCUAAGAAUGUACCAUACACAACACAGAACCUUGCAAAUCAGCAAGCCAAGUUUCACAAGGAGUACCGUAAUGCAGACGUGGGGAGCACAAUUGCAUACUUUGAGGAGCUCAGGGCAAAGGAUCCAUAUUUCUAUUGA
rnacentral:rRNA from 1 species